rnacentral:rRNA from 1 species
AUUGAACGCUGGCGGCAUGCCUUACACAUGCAAGUCGAACGGUAACGGGCCUUCGGGUUCCGACGAGUGGCGAACGGGUGAGUAAUACAUCGUAACGUGCCCGAUCGUGGGGGAUAACGAGGCGAAAGCUAUGCUAAUACCACAUACGAUCUACGGAUGAAAGCAGGGGACCGCAAGGCCUUGCGCGGACGGAGCGGCCGAUGGGAGAUUAGGGAGUUGGUGGGAUAAAAGCUUAACAAGCCGACGAUCUGUAGCUGGUCUGAGAGGAUGAUCCGCCACAACGCUCUUGCGCUACGCCCCGCACUCCCAAUCUAGGCAGCGAUCGGGACUCUUAUAGAACGCUGGCGACAUGCCUCAAACCAGCAAGUCGGACGGUAGCGGGCCUUCGGGUUGUAAACUGCUUUUGUACGGAACGAAAAGCCUUCUUUUAAUACAGGAGGGUCAUGACGGUACCGUAAGAAUAAGCACCGGCUAACUACGUG